UACAAAGGGGGCGAGCGUUAAUCGGAUUUACUGGGCGUAAAGCGUGCGUAGGCGGCUUUGUAAGUCGGAUGUGGAAUCCUCGAGCUCAACUCGGGAAUUGCAUUCGAUACUGGGAAGCUUGAGUAUGGGAGAGGAUGGUAGAAUUCCAGGUGUAGCGGUGAAAUGCGUAGAGAUCUGGAGGAAUACCGAUGGCGAAGGCGGCCAUCUGGCCUAAUACUGACGCUGAGGUACGAAAGCAUGGGGAGCAAACAGG
rnacentral:misc_RNA from 1 species